CAGAGGGAAGCUGUGACAGGUGACCUUGGAGUCAGGUGAGUGUCUUUGUGACCGUGAGCUACGCCACGACGCACUCCACCUGCUGCCGAGGACCACAAAACGGAGAUACUGGCGCCCGCAUCCGAGGCGACCGCGGCAAGGACGGCGCUCGGCGCACAGAUGGGGGUUCACGGCUCCGGCGGAUGGGCGUUCGAAACCCUGACAGCCCUGGACGGCUCGUGGACACCCGCACCCUCCCCGUCCGCCUCCUGCCUUUGCAGACCUCUGACGUCCACCUGAGUGCCGGGAGCAGAGCGGGAAAGGCCCGUUGGCCACAGCCUCCCAAGUGACGCAGGUCGACUCAAGCGGUACAGAUGGCUGCCCGCACCCGCGUGUCUGCGAGUUU
rnacentral:lncRNA from 1 species